CAUAUUGUACUUUACUGUCAACCACUAACAUCUAAUAAAAUCCAUUCAUCUUCUUCCCUCAUCUCUUCCUUCAUUUCUUAAUGAUCUUUAACAACAACUUCAUCAAUAAAAUCCAGAAAAUUCCAAAAAAAUAAAAAUAAAUAAACAUAUUCUUUAAUCACUAUACAAUCAUAAUUGUCAUCUUCAUCUAUCAUUAUCAACUCCCUUCUUCCUAAAUAUUAUUCUUCAUCUUCAUACAAAAAAAAAAUCCAAAAUUAAAAACUGAAAUUAUGUUUUUAAAAACUCAAUCUUCAUCUUCUUGUCUCUCAAAGACCAAUAAAUUCAUCAAAAUUAGCCCGACAACAUAUAAAUUUUUAUGAAUCUGAGUUUGCAUCACUUUCUUUUGCAACCUCAUCCAUUAAUAAACCCAACUACUCAAGAAGAGAAGGGACACAAGAAGCCCCUGUUAUAACAACAAAGGCUCCCAACAGGAGGAACAACACGCUGCCAAACUAACAACAGAGCCUAUGGCAGUUGUGAACUUUCCCAAAAGCUUCAAAACAAAACCCCACAUAAACAACAACACGCUAGAGAAUACAACACAAGGCAGCCGCAAACCAAAGGAUAAAAACCAGCACCAAAAUCACCCAUCGGAAUUAUCGGAUUAAGAAUUCAAAAAAAACAAAAAAUCAGUUUCAAUUUUUUUCAAGAAGUGAUGAGUCAAGAUUUGAAUUGAAAGGUUUGAACUUUGAACAUGUUGAUGAGUUUUAAGAGGGAUUGUGGUGGUGGUGGUAUGCAUGAGUCAAGAUUAGUGUGGUGGUUUGUGUGGCUAUGAGACCCAUAAUGAAAUUGAAAAUCAUGUUCUGGAAUUUUCUUUUUCAAUCCGUUCUUGAGUUUUUGUUAAUUAAUUAUGAGAUAGAGGGGGAUAGUGGAGAGAUGAAUUGAUGUUGAAUCUUUGUUUCAUUUUUUGGUUAAAUGUUGAUUUUUUUUUUCUUCUGGAUUUUUCUUGUAUAUUGUAUGAAUUUUGUACCAAUAUGAAGAAG
rnacentral:lncRNA from 1 species